rnacentral:rRNA from 1 species
GAGGAAUAUUGGGCAAUGCCCGCAAGGGUGACCCAGCAACGCCGCGUGGAGGCUGAAUGUCGUAAGAUUGUAAACUCCUGUUAGAGGGGAAGAAUAGUACCGGUUGGACCGGUAUAUGACUGUACCCUCAGAGAAAGCCCCGGCUAACUACGUGCCAGCAGCCGCGGUAAUACGUAGGGGGCAAGCGUUGUCCGGAUUUACUGGGUGUAAAGGGCGCGCAGGCGGGAUAAAAAGUCAGUGGUGAAAUCCUACAGCUUAACUGUAGAACUGCCUUUGAUACUUUUAUUCUUGAGUUCGGGAGAGAGAGACGGAAUUCCAGGUGUAGUGGUGAAAUACGUAGAUAUCUGGAAGAACACCAGUUGCGAAGGCGGUCUCUUGGUCCGACACUGACGCUGAGGCGCGAAAGCGUGGGG